rnacentral:misc_RNA from 1 species
UUUAGGGAGACCUAUACCCCUUACAUAUCGAAAAGCAUACAGCUAGAUAGAUAGUAAGUUGGUCUAACCUAGGUCGGUCGCGAAUAUUUGCAUUGUUGAACGCUUUCAAACUAUGAUGAAGGUUCGAUAUGGGCUAUUAGCUCAGGUGGUUAGAGCGCACCCCUGAUAAGGGUGAGGUCCCUGGUUCGAGUCCAGGAUGGCCCACCUGAAUCAAUUAAAAAUGUAAAAUUAAAAAUUAAAAAUGAAAUAAAUUUUUAAUCAUCAAUUUUUAAUUGUAUNUGGGGGUUUAGCUCAGUUGGUAGAGCGCCUGCUUUGCAAGCAGGAUGUCAGCGGUUCGAGUCCGCUAACCUCCACCUGUGGCGAUUGCCAUUGAUAAAAUAGAGUGAGAAAUCAGCAACAUGACGCUCGUGUCAGACUGCUGAGUUUUAUCUCAGCCAGAACCUUGAAAACUGCAUAGUAACGCGAAAUUAGCAGGCAGACACAGACAUUGCGAAUGUUUUUGUGAAUGCAUUAUGUGAAACACAAAAUGAAUUGAGU